AACGUAGCGAAAGUUACGCUAAUACCGCAUACGAUCUAAGGAUGAAAGCGGGGGAUCGCAAGACCUCGCGCGAUUGGAGCGGCCGAUAUCAGAUUAGGUAGUUGGUGGGGUAAAGGCUCACCAAGCCAACGAUCUGUAGCUGGUCUGAGAGGACGACCAGCCACACUGGAACUGAGACACGGUCCAGACUCCUACGGGAGGCAGCAGUGGGGAAUUUUGGACAAUGGACGCAAGUCUGAUCCAGCCAUUCCGCGUGCAGGAUGAAGGCCCUCGGGUUGUAAACUGCUUUUGUACGGAACGAAAAGGUCUCUCUUAAUACGGGAGGCUCAUGACGGUACCGUAAGAAUAAGCACCGGCUAACUACGUGCCAGCAGCCGCGGUAAUACGUAGGGUGCAAGCGUUAAUCGGAAUUACUGGGCGUAAAGCGUGCGCAGGCGGUUAUAUAAGACAGAUGUGAAAU
rnacentral:rRNA from 1 species